AUUAUCAUUCAUUAAGACUUUCUGUAAAUGCUCCUUUCUUGUUCUGUUUCAUUUGGAGAGUUUCUCCUGCUUAGAGAAACUUGAAUUCUCUUUUGUGCUGAAGAUAAUUUUUUAGGUCUUUGGCAUCUUGAUUCUUCUAUUGUACCACCCAAUUAGUGAAAACUUGGAUAAUUUGUUUCCUUACAGUGAGCUCGCUAUGGAAUCUGGGCUCAUUAUCUACUUAUCAAAAAGAAAUAUGGGCUCAUUGUCAUCAAAUUAUGGGUGUUUUCCCAUCAGGCAUGAAUUUUCUAAACUUUUUUUUGUAGAUGGUGGAGAUAUCCCUAGAUAAUGUAAUAGGAAAUGUGGGAUU